GCCAGGCAAAGUGGUGUUUGCCUGUAAUCCCAGCAAUUUAAGAGGCUGAGACAAGAGGAUCACAAGUUUAAGGCCAGCCUCAAUAACUUGUCUCAA
rnacentral:sRNA from 1 species